GAGGAAUUAUUUUUAUGGAAUAAUAUCAGUCAGAGUGUUUAAUGAUAAAGGUAAUGCCAUUCUAUCCUUCUUGGCCACGGCACAGCAAGAAAAUAACGAUGGAGGAUUUCGUGUUAUGGUUUCGGCAUUAACUCCCACGACAGACACAAAGUCAAUUGAAUUUGAAAAUUUGGAAAUAUCUCGCAUAUGUAAGCGGCAAUAUUCCAAGGUGAAAAAGGUGUCAGCAACAAAAGACUGUUCAAAAUUUCAAUCCGGAAAAUCCUUUAUGACAGCCCCACUGGGAAGAUUUUGCUGCAGCGGAGGGGAAAGAAGAAUGCGCGAUGUCAGCGAAGGAAUUAAUUCACAAGCACGUUUUGCGUUACGACAACCAAAAAAUAACACUCAGCGAGUUGUAUGUUUUGAAGGCACAAAUUUUAAGGUGGUUUCUCGGCGAAACAAUAUAAAACUGGAGGAUAGGCAAGAAUUUUCAACAGAAGUCCGGUGGUCGACAAAUGGCACACCCGCGACUAUCAAAGCCGCCACCUAAUAUAACUGAUGAAGUUACAGGUAGCGACAGACGAUAAUCAUCUACCAGUCCCUCGAAAAGAAUUUCCAUUCUGGGUCAGGAGACAAUAACAAAAGGCUUAAGCGGACAGAAUCGCGCUCGCAGACACCGCCGCACUUUUUGGGGCGCCAUUGUGAAAAGGAG